GAGAUUUGUAGUGGUAAGGCUCCUUGGGUGGGGGUGGUGAGUGCACUGGAGCAGGAGGUGGUGGUGGGGAUUUGUAGUGGUAAGGCUUUGGUGAUGGUGGUGGUGACUUGGGGUGGUAGGGAUGCUUAGGUGGUGGGUACACAGGAGGUGGUGGUGACUUAGGGUGGUAGGGAUGCUUAGGUGGUGCGUACACAGGAGGUGGUGGAGAAGGAGAAGGAGGCGGUGGUGACUUGUAAUGGUAGGGAGGAGAGGCCGGUGGUGGUGGAGAGGUGUAAGGGUAGUUAGCUGAAGUUUCUGAAGGCAAUGUGAGAGAGACUAUUGCCACUAGGAGAGUGACCACAAGAGAGGUCACUUGUGAAGGCACCAUUUUUCCCAUCCUUCGUUAAGAAUGGGUUUUUGGUUGUCUGCCU
rnacentral:sRNA from 1 species